UACGGAGGAUCCGAGCGUUAUCCGGAUUUAUUGGGUUUAAAGGGUGCGCAGGCGGGAGAUUAAGUCGGCGGUGAAAUUUUGCAGCUCAACUGUAAAAGUGCCUUCGAAACUGGUUUCCUUGAGUGUAGAUGAAGUAGGCGGAAUUUGUGGUGUAGCGGUUAAAUGCAUAGAUAUCACGAGGAACUCCGAUUGCGCAGGCAGCUUACUAAACUACUACUGACGCUCAGGCACGAAGGCGUGGGGAUCAAACAGGAUUAGAUACCCGCGUAGU
rnacentral:rRNA from 1 species